rnacentral:rRNA from 1 species
CAGGAUCAGAGUGGGCGGCGGUCCCUAAUCCUUGCAAGUCGAGGGCGAAUAAGGGCGCUGGCUCCCGGAUUUUAGGGGCGGAGGGGUGAGUACCAGUGGGGUAACCUGCCGGUAAGACUGGGAUAACUCCGGGAACCCGGGGCUAAUUCCGGAUAGUUCCUUGACCCGCAUGGUUCAAAAAUAAAAGACGUUUUCGGCUUUCACUAACGAAUGGACCCGCGGCGCAUUAGCUAGUUGGUGGGGUAAUGGCCCACCAAGGCGACGAUGCGUAGCCGACCUGAGAGGGUGAUCGGCCACACUGGGACUGAGACACGGCCCAGACUCCUACGGGAGGCAGCAGUAGGGAAUCUUCCGCAAUGGACGAAAGUCCUGACGCAGCAACGCCGCGUGAGUGAUGAAGGUUUUCGGAUCGUAAAGUUCCUUUUGUUAGGAAAGAACAACCACCAGUACGUAACUGCUCGUCAGCCUAUGACGGUACCUAACCAGUAUAA